GACGAACCGUGCGGACGUUAUUCGGAAUCACUGGGCUUAAAGCGCGUGUAGGCGGGGCGGCACGUCGGUCGCUGAAAGCCCCCGGCUCAACCGGGGAACGGGCGCCGAUACGACCGCCCUGGAGGGACGUAGGGGGGCCUGGAACUUCCGGUGGAGCGGUGAAAUGCGUUGAGAUCGGAAGGAACGCCCGUGGCGAAAGCGAGGCCCUGGACGUCUGCUGACGCUGAGACGCGAAAGCCAGGGGAGCGAACGGG
rnacentral:rRNA from 1 species